UACGUAGGGCGCAAGCGUUUGUCCGGAAUUAUUGGGCGUAAAGAGCUCGUAGGCGGCUUGUCGCGUCGAUUGUGAAAGCCCGGGGCUUAACUCCGGGUCUGCAGUCGAUACGGGCAGGCUAGAGUGUGGUAGGGGAGAUCGGAAUUCCUGGUGUAGCGGUGAAAUGCGCAGAUAUCAGGAGGAACACCGGUGGCGAAGGCGGAUCUCUGGGCCAUUACUGACGCUGAGGAGCGAAAGCGUGGGGAGCGAACAGG
rnacentral:rRNA from 1 species